CCUACGGGCGGCAGCAGUGGGGAAUAUUGCACAAUGGGGGGAACCCUGAUGCAGCGACGCCGCGUGAGUGAAGAAGUAUUUCGGUAUGUAAAGCUCUAUCAGCAGGGAAGAAAAGGACGGUACCUGACUAAGAAGCCCCGGCUAACUACGUGCCAGCAGCCGCGGGAAUACGUAGGGGGCAAGCGUUAGCCGGAUUUACUGGGGGUACAGGGAGCGUAGACGGUUAUGCAAGUCUGAAGUGAAAGCCCCAGGCUCAACCAUGGGACUGCUUUGGAAACUGUAAAACUGGAGUGCAGGAGAGGUAAGCGGAAUUCCUAGUGUAGCGGUGAAAUGCGUAGAUAUUAGGAGGAACACCAGUGGCGAAGGCGGCUUACUGGACUGUAACUGACGUUGAGGCUCGAAGGCGUGGGGAGCAAACAGGAUUAGAUACCCGUGUAGUC
rnacentral:rRNA from 1 species